ensembl:lncRNA
GAACAGAGCAGACAGACAGACAAACCAUCAGGAGAACAGAGCAGACAGACAGACCAUCAGCAGAACAGAGCAGACAGACAGACCAUCAGGAGAACAGAGCAGACAGACAGACAAACCAUCAGGAGAACAGAGCAGACAGAUAGACCAUCAGGAGAAAAGAACAGUCAGACAGACAAACCAUCAGGAGAACAGAGCAGUCAGACAGACCAUCAGGAGAACAGGUUGGAGGAAGAGAAGAGAAUGGAGGAGGGAAUGGAGGAGAGGAAGAGAGAAGAGGUUGGUGGAGAAGGAGAGGAAGAGAGAAGAGGUUGGUGGAGGAGGAGAGGAAGAGAGAAGAGGAUGGGGGAGGAGGAGAAGAAGAGAGAAGAGGUUGGUGGAGGAAGAUUUCAUUUAUUUAUUCCCAGUUUAUUACCCAAGGCAUUUCCUGUUGUGGCAUGACGAACUCAUCAUUACCCACAUCAUCAGGCCCAUUGUGUUGUGAGAACCUGGACAAAGCAGCGUUUAACAGGAAGUAAAUACCUGGUCAAUGGUCGUUAAGGGGCUCGCUUGUUAAGGGCUGAUUAGGGGAGAGAUUCCCCCUGGGUAAACUGCUGGGAACAGGUGCUUAUAAACAAACAAGAGGAGACUGGAUAGAAGCUGUGUGUGUGUGUGUGUGUGUGUG